rnacentral:lncRNA from 1 species
UAUUGGGGUCGACGGCUCAUCGCUCCCCAGAUCCGUCCAGCUCCUGAGUUGGCAAUGGGGGGUAAGUAUCCAACAGAUGAAAAUCGCCUCUUGACAGAUCUUGCCAAAUGGGACAUCUCCUCCACAAGAUUUCCCGAUGCCUGUCAAAAAAGAAGCUGCUGCCUACGGUGCUGCGGAAAGCUUUACUAUGGAAAUUCUGGCAAGGGCGCGGUGGGUCUUACGCGCUAGAAGGAAAAAGGGUGACAGCAAUUUCAUGUGAAGCAAGCCCUAUGCGCUCACGCAGAGCAGAACAUAACAUGCUGUCCAUGUGUGCAUGCACUUUUGCAAGGCGUUUCACUCACCCUCUCAGCGGUUCCCUGUAGUCCAGAAUGUCUCCGGUGCUGCUGUGGUGCGCGCGCUCGCUCUCUGGGGUUUCCUGUGAUGCCAUGGCCGCAGUAGCGCCCUUAUGUUGUGUCAGGCCAGGCUCGGGCGCAGAUAUAUCCUCCUGCUCUGGGUCAACUGCCGGGGUGAGCAUCUGGCUGAAGGCUGCGGCGUCGGGCUCCUUGGUUGCAGGCGCCUGAGCAGGUGCAGAUUCCAUUAUGUGAUGAAGACCACAUUUUGGAUGGUAGGAACUUUGAGAAAAGCAAUAUGUAAUGAAUAGGCGUGGCAUGCACCACAUCUCUUAUGAUAAAAAAAAGGACGACACCAGCGAGAGCUGAUGGUGCAGCCAUCCACUUCCUCACAUCAAGAAGAGUCAUGCCUUUGCACAAAUGCACAGGAUUAUGGAAGCAUGCUCACAAGCAAGCUCAAGAUUCAAGCAUCAUAAUUACAUUGCAAGCAGUUUCGUGGGUAGGGCAGGAGAUUGAAUUCACCUCCUGCACGUCCUCGAAGAGCUCCACGGUGAGCCCGGCGAAGGUGACCAGCUUCUGCAGCCUCAUCGCCGCCGGCAUGG